rnacentral:rRNA from 1 species
CCUACGGGAGGCAGCAGUGGGGAAUAUUGGACAAUGGGCGAAAGCCUGAUCCAGCCAUGCCGCGUGUGUGAAGAAGGUCUUCGGAUUGUAAAGCACUUUAAGUUGGGAGGAAGGGCAUUAACCUAAUACGUCAGUGUUUUGACGUUACCAACAGAAUAAGCACCGGCUAACUCCGUGCCAGCAGCCGCG